ensembl:ncRNA C29H12.7 ncRNA
UUAGGAAGCUGAAAAAUCUAUAACCUCAAAUCAAAGUUAACAACAAAUGUUGCCUAAACGUCAAAAAUCUGAAAACAAACCAUGACAUGAUUCGUGUCACCGCAGACGCUGUCCCAAUCGGAAUUUAGCG